AUGAGAUACACAAUAUUAAUAUUAAUAUUCAAUUUUUCUAGGGCCUCCAUUCCCAACCCUGAAGCCCCCUGUCCCCAGCAUGUCCCCAGCAUGUCCCCAGCAGGAAAGACCAGGAGAAAGUGUUGGCUUAAGGUAAAACUUCCUAUUGAGGAAAGGCCUGGAGUGGGUGACAGGUCUUUCCACCAAGCUGUUCCAGACCCGAAGUGGGUAACAGGUAACUGCAAACACAAUACAAGCCUUUUAUUUCAACUACAAUCGACAGAUUGGAAAGCAAAUGUCUCCUGCUGAAAAGAGAAUACUCUAUGCUGUAGGCUGCCAAAAUAUUUGAUCAACUUCCAAGUAUUGUUCUACAGAGAAGUGUAACAGGGAAAAGCUAUUGGCACGAAAGCUUCGGCCAUCACCUGCCCGGACCUGAGUCAGUGAAACUGGAAACUAUUCUCUUUGACUAAUUUCCUCAUAUUGUACCCACAACACACCUGGGCUUAAACUAUUGAUGGAUUCAAUACAAUGUCAUUUUUAUUGAUUUUACCCCCAUGUGUGCAACUUUUGGCUCCCAAGUGGAGCAGCGGUCUAACAGGCUGACUACACCGCUUGCGUUGCAAAAUAAAUGUAGAAAUCUGUUAUUCAAUUACUGCACCCAAUCAGUUCUAUUUCUGACGCAGAUCACACUGCCAGUCCUGCCUCUCCCAUCUCCUCAUUGGUUUAUAGAAGCAGGUACCCACGUGCCAUCUCCUCAUUGGUUAUACCCACGUGGGUGACUGAAAGACGAACGAGGUCAGUGGCGGUAAUGCACCUAAUUUAUGAAACGCAACAAGUCAAGAAGAAAAAGCCUGGAAGGAAGAGAGAUGACUAGAAACAAUUUGGUUAACCGUUUUAUGUGUGGAUUAAUUGUCGUAGUAGAGGACCUUGUGCAUUUCAUGUAAAAUAACUAGUUUAUAUCCAAGAACAAAUUAGCUAGAAACAACAAGCUAGCUAAAUAGGACAAAUUAGCAAGCAAGUGCAAGCUAACUAGCUAAAGUGUCAUAAAUGUUUAAUGCUUUUCGACCUUUCCCCAAAUGAAUAUCAUUGGUCGAGUUUGUUUAGAUUUUUUAACCUGUCUGUCGUGAUCGUGUUGUGUGAAGGGACAAAAUACAUUUACGCACGAUGACGCACGCGCGCAGCCGGUUUGGGUUCCAUGUAAGGCACUGCAUCUCAGCAGUCUAAGGCACUGCAUCUCAGUUGGCCCGGCAUCGUGCGGGUUCGGCAGGUGUAGGCCGUCAUUAUAAAAAAAAAAUGUUCUAUUCUGAAUUGCCAAGUUAAAUAAAAUAAAAAACUUCUGUAUGUGCCUCUACA
rnacentral:lncRNA from 1 species